rnacentral:misc_RNA from 1 species
UUACAUAGAAACUCAACUACACUACUAGCUAUGAGAGCUAAAAUUUUGGGGUUGUUGACAAAUUAGUUAGGUUAUGCGCCUAAAAAAUGCAGCAGCAAGCAGGGAGGGAAGAUUCAAUUCUUGUUACCAACUUGCACAACCUCUGACUCUGUAGGUUGUGUGGUUUCGUUACUUAAACGCUGGCCUUUCCUGCCGGCCCUUACUUCUUCGUUUCCCGG